CCUGCCCUCAGGGGCAUUGCAGAUGUGGCUGCUGUGUCACAUGUUUGUCAGUAGCUGACAGAGAAGAACUAGGCUAUGUCUAUGCUGGUCUAUUCUGACCGGUGAACAUCUGAAUGAUCAAUAGCUUAACACU